CCAACCAAAGCUGUAUGUGCAGAGCAUCUUGAGUUGAGAAAAGAAAUAUUGACUUUAUUGAGUCUUUAGAAACAGAUUGAGAAGCUUUUUAAAGAUGAAGCUACUGAAGAAAAGGAUUUCUGCUACUUUGAAGACAUCAAUUGGUUAAUUCACUCUCUAUCAAGGUAUGCAUUAGAUGAUAUUGGUUCUGGAUCUCAUGUGCAUCUUAGUUUGUGGGAAAAUGGGAAAAAUGUAUUUAUGGCAUCUGGUGGACACGCUAAGCAUGGAAUGUCCAAGGUUGGAGAAGAGUUCAUGGCAGGGGUUUUAAAUCAUCUACCUUCAAUUCUGGCCUUUACGGCACCACUUCCAAACAGUUAUGAUUGCAUGUGCCCAAUAUUUGGAGUGCAGCAUACCAGUGCUGGGGAAAAGAGAACAGAGAAGCACCCCUGAGAACCGCAUGCCCACCUGGGGUUCAAAAUGGUGUUGUGAGCGACUUUGAGAUUAAAGCAUUUGAUGGGUGUGCAAAUCCACACUUGGGGCUGGCUGCUAUAAUUGCUGCUGGGAUUGGUGGCCUUCGUAGACAUCUGAGUUUGCCUGAACCCGUUGGUAAGUAGGAUUAUAUGAUUGUACUAUACCCAAUGUAUCACAUCGAUUAUUUGUUAGUGUUUUUUUUGUGCGUUAUUUUCGAAUAUUUUUUUAGACAUACCAUCCAUAAAUCCCCCAUGUUUCAUGUCCUUUCAGUCCUGGCACUUAAUCAAAAAAAAAAAAAUCCUUUAUGAAUUAUGUGAAA